UUCAACUUGCACUUAUUCCUGAUAAAGCUUUGUCUAAACUAUUUCUGAAAACAACCAGCGAUAGUCCAUGGGUUCCUUCACUGUCUGCUCCAGAGCUGUCGUGACCAUUAGACAUAUGCUCUUGAAUGCCUUUGAAAAUUUGAUUCCAGUGGCACACAGAAUCCAAAGCAUCUCCUCUACCAUGCUGCCCGCUGUAUAAGCUGAUGUGCAGCAUGAAUUGGUUGUCACUACGUUCCACUGUUGUGUCCUGCUGGUGUUCACUUUUACAAGUGGCAGAAAUGUUGAUAGUUUAUCCUGGAAAGAAAAUGACAUUGAACAAUAUUUUGAAAAGAAAAGGAAGAUGGGUUUGCAGGAGGUACAGUGAUCAUCCACUUUUUCUUCUGACUGUGAUCUCUAAAAGGACAUUUGCUGGUGCUCUACCCAUGGGUGGAUUCUCUCCUCUAGAUGCCCAACAGAAUCUUUGCUUUUGGCUUUGUACUUGCUCCCCAGAGAAAUAAAGGAUUACAUGCAGCUGC